rnacentral:lncRNA from 1 species
GUUUUUAUUCCAGAAAAAAUGACUAGGCCUAGCGAAUGCCUACAUACAGUAACCUAUGCUUGUCUAUGUGUAUAAUCUUUGAGACUACAAUAUAAUUCCGAUGUCCAUGGCCUCCACCUAUCCAACCCUUUCCACAUCAUCAGACGAAGGAGGGGCAUAUGUUAUGUCACCAAUUAGUUUGUGACGGGGCAAAAAAAUGACGGUAUAUAGGCCUAUAUCAAACACAAUACAUUUUGCUCUACAGUUUGUAGUUAAUUAUCGCAGUCAUUUAUUGUUUUUCUUUUUAGGAGUGGUUGGUAGGCUAUAGAAUUGUGCAGCUCAUGCUCUAUCCACGACAAUUGUCCCGUUAUCUUAUGAUGCCUGGGCGCUCGAACUGGAGCCCUUGGGUGAGGCUUCCAAAAUUGUACAGAUUGAAUUUCGAACGUUUAAGUCAUUCACCAUAAAGAUGAGGCAGAGCAGGCAACAGAUGGCACACAGACAGCAGAGUUGGGGACAGAUAUGCAGGGACAGACUGGCAGAGACAGGGAGUCUCAGAUGCUGGUGUUGCUGGACUCCUUAAUGGAAAAGAAAGACCACGAAGAUGACCUUACAUACCACCCUCUCCCUUUCCAGAUUCUUUAGGCUGGACCAGAUGCAGACGAGGGCCAUUCCUUUGCCAUGCUGGUGCUACAGGGGACUGUCUGUGAUGUCUCAAUCGGUGGUGUCUGGCUCCACCGUGGGAAGCAGAUGACUUUGAGCUGUAGGACCAGUGGCUGGAGGAUGUGCAAGCAAGUGAUGGCAGAUGGAAGGACCAUCAAAGCAAGGGAUUGAAAAGGCAUUGCGGAGGACCAGAGGAUCAAAGCCCUGGUCUAUUGACCAAUCCUUUCUAACACGAUGUCGAGUACAAAUCUAUUAUUGAGAUGAGUAGCUCAGCCAAUAAAAGUAAAAUCACUAUUAACAAUUCGUCCUGUUCAUAGCAGUGAAAAUGUUUACAUUAUUUGUUAUAAACAGAUUGUUUUUGAUUCAAUUCUGUCACAUACAGUAUUAGUCAUGUUUAUGGAAAUGCAAAAAGGUUAGUGCAAUCAGGACUAUGUGUGACCUGUGGAUUUGCUGCCAAGUUUAUACUACACUUAUGUGGGAAAUAAAGUACUGUUUUGAUCCUGAACUUCUGUUCCUUAUCUCCUCGUGCUUUUGAAUGGCAUCAUACAAUUAGGAUACCUCCUUUUAACCACUUCAAGUGUUAUUGGAUCGGCUGUUGGCAGUUAUGAAUGGUCAGCAGCAACACUUAGAUUUCAUCAUGUUCAGCGGAUAUUCUCAUGCUUCCCAAGUGACAGCAAAUCAGGUAAGCGGCGGAGUGGAUUCAAACUCUGAAUUUUGAUAUCACCAGGUGAAAGUUGCGUUGGUCUAUAGCUAAUCAAGUGUGGAUUUUUCUUUAAAUAUCUUCAAUAGCCUUGUAUUACUUAUAAUGUGUUCAUUUUAGGGUAUAACAUUUUUUAUUGCAGAAUAUUGAUAUGAUUAUUAGAAAUGUUAAUAUACUGUAGUUGCCCAACAAUAUCUCCAAUUGUAUGUCAGGAUGUUAUGUUUGGAUGAUCAGCAUCCUGAGUAUAUUAUGUAAUUUAUAUGUUCCUGUGGGAAAUGGCUCACAUGAUUGAACUAUUCACAGCUCAUUAGAAAUAAAAGUACUGAGGGGUUUCCAUCUGGUUGUUAAUGUUUUGAGUUGGUGUCUUUGAAUGGGG